AUGGCUCAGAACGAACGCUGGCGGCAUGGAUUAGGCAUGCAAGUUGAACGAACUCCUUCGGGAGUGAGUAGCGGAAGGGUGAGGAACGCGUGAGUAAUCUGCCCCCCAGUUGGGAAUAACAGUUGGAAACGACUGCUAAUACCGAAUGUGGCUUAAGCUUCGCCUGGAGCUUUGGCUAAAGAUUUAUCGCUGGGGGAUGAGCUCGCGUCCCAUUAGGUAGUUGGUGAGGUAACGGCUCACCAAGCCGACGAUGGGUAGCUGGUCUGAGAGGAUGGUCAGCCACACUGGGACUGAGACACUGCCCAGACUCCUACGGGAGGCUGCAGUCGAGAAUCUUGGGCAAUGCGCGAAAGCGUGACCCAGCAAUGCCGCGUGUAUGAUGAAGGCCCUCGGGUCGUAAAGUACUGUCUCCCGUGACGAAAUUUGACGGUAGCGGGGAAGGAAGCCACGGCUAACUACGUGCCAGCCGCCGC
rnacentral:rRNA from 1 species